rnacentral:rRNA from 1 species
CCUACGGGAGGCAGCAGUGAGGAAUAUUGGUCAAUGGACGCAAGUCUGAACCAGCCAUGCCGCGUGCAGGAAGACGGCUCUAUGAGUUGUAAACUGCUUUUGUACGAGGGUAAACGCAGAUACGCGUAUCUGUCUGAAAGUAUCGUACGAAUAAGGAUCGGCUAACUCCGUGCCAGCAGCCGCGGUAAUACGGAGGAUUCAAGCGUUCUCCGGAUUUAUUGGGUUUAAAGGGUGCGUAGGCGGUCGGAUAAGUUAGAGGUGAAAUCCCGAGGCUCAACUUCGGAAUUGCCGCUGAUACUGUUCGGCGAGAGAGUAGUUGCGGUAGGCGGAAUGUAUGGUGUAGCGGUGAAAUGCUUAGAGAUCAUACAGAACACCGAUUGCGAAGGCAGCUUACCAAGCUACGUCUGACGUUGAGGCACGAAAGCGUGGGGAGCAAACAGGAUUAGAUACCCCAGUAGUC